GAGGGAUGCCAUCCAGAGGGACCUGGGCAAACUCAGAAAAUAUAGGACAUGAUGUUUCUGUGGCACUGCAGUCUUUUCCAUCAUUGCCAGAUUUUGAGCACUCAGGAGAGAUUGAACUUCAGACUUCAGGAAGCAUUUAACUGGGAUGAGAGAACUAGAAAUGGGAUUCAUAACAGAAUUCCUUCAAAAAAGUGCAUGAUCAAAAUAAGAGGUACAAAUUAGUUCAUGGCUGCUGAAGCUACAAAACAUCAUGCAGAGAGCUGUCUUUGGGAACGUUUUAAUGAGGAGAAGAGGUCAUCAGACUGUGACAUUGCUUUUCAGAAUUCUUCAAGAACAACACAGACUUCCUGUUCCAAAUGUGGUAAAGAAUAAAACAACCUUAGUAGUAAUCGUA